UCAGAAAUGAAAUUUGUAAGGGCAGAGACUGCGGAAGAAGAGAAAGAUCAUCGCCCAGUCUCCUGAGUGCUAAUGAAUUUAUGGGGAAGCAGCGUUAAUGAGUUCCUAGGAAGAGAUGUUGUCAGGGGUUGCAAGGAACCUGUUCAGUAUCCACUGCAUCCCAGAUCCUGUGCUUGGAGUGCGAUGUUGGAGAGCAAAGCCAGAAGAGAUCUCAAGGAGCUUUCAGCCUGGGAAGGGAGGCCAACUCUUACCAAUAGCCGCCAUGUGGACAUCAAUCGUGAUACGUAGAAACUGAGGCUGAUGAAAGGUCACUCCCCUCAAGCUUGCGCGGGAUUGUGGCGAGAGGGGUUGAGUUUGAAUUCAGAGUGUUGGACUCCAGGGCCCACAGCCUUUCACACUAGCCUUUACUACCUUCCAGGCUACUCUGAAGACUUUACAGAAGGCAGAUCUCAUGCAGACAUGCUCCCUUCCUCGUAUCUAUGGUACAAGUGUCUCAUCUGCACUCUGUGUCAUCAAGAAUCUACAUGGCCCCCUUUUGAAAUUCAAAGGCGUUAGUAGAGUUAUAGGAAUAAAAUGGAGAGCCUGUCACACAGUGUGUA